rnacentral:rRNA from 1 species
GACAGAGGUCUCGAGCGUUAGGCGGAAUCACUGGGCUUAAAGCGUGUGUAGGCGGACUUGUAAGUACCUUGUGAAAUCCCACGGCUUAACCGUGGAACUGCUUGGUAUACUGCUUGCCUUGGGCCAUCUAGGGGUUACCGGAACAAACGGUGGAGCGGUGAAAUGCGUAGAUAUGCGGAGGAACACCGAUGGCGAAGGCAAUCCCCUGGACCUGUACUGACGCUCAUGCACGAAAGCGUGGGGAGCAAACAGG